UGGCUCAUUAAAUCAGUUAUCGUUUAUUUGAUAGUACCUUACUACAUGGAUACCUGUGGUAAUUCUAGAGCUAAUACAUGCUAAAAACCCCGACUUCAGGAAGGGGUGUAUUUAUUAGAUAAAAAACCAACGCCCUUCGGGGCUCCUUGGUGAAUCAUAAUAACUUAACGAAUCGCAUGGCCUUGCGCCGGCGAUGGUUCAUUCAAAUUUCUGCCCUAUCAACUUUCGAUGGUAGGAUAGUGGCCUACCAUGGUGGCAACGGGUAACGGGGAAUUAGGGUUCGAUUCCGGAGAGGGAGCCUGAGAAACGGCUACCACAUCCAAGGAAGGCAGCAGGCGCGCAAAUUACCCAAUCCCGAUACGGGGAGGUAGUGACAAUAAAUACUGAUACGGGGCUCUUUUGGGUCUCGUAAUUGGAAUGAGAACAAUUUAAAUCCCUUAACGAGGAACAAUUGGAGGGCAAGUCUGGUGCCAGCAGCCGCGGUAAUUCCAGCUCCAAUAGCGUAUAUUAAAGUUGUU
rnacentral:rRNA from 1 species